GCCUCGGUAGCGCGGUGGUUAGUGCGACGAGCCAGCAACUCGAGGCUCGCGGGUUCGAAUCUCCGUCCAGGAAG